rnacentral:rRNA from 1 species
AAAACGACUCUCGGCAACGGACAUCUCGGCUCUCGCAUCGAUGAAGAACGUAGCGAACUGCGAUACUUGGUGUGAAUUGCAGAAUCCCGUGAACCAUCGAGUCUUUGAACGCAAGUUGCGCCCGAAGCCAUUAGGCCGAGGGCACGUCUGCCUGGGCGUCACGC